CGUCGAGCCAGAAAAGAAGAAGGAGGAGAAGGAGGAGAAAGGGAGAGAGAAGAAGAGAGAGGGAAACCCUAGGGAGAGCAAUCCUCCACCGAUUGGAGUGAUUCAAAAGCCUAAACCACUCUAAAUCUUUCCCUCAUCACUAAUCCUAGCUUGGUUCUUGGUGGGGAGUGUUGUGUUGUGAGAUAUCAUCCCCCAAAAUUUCGACCCAUUGAUGAUUGGGUGUCAUGGAGGAGUCCAUUGCUUGAAGUGAUGCUUGGAACCUCUUCCUUGGGUGUCUUCUAGGAUUGAGGCAUUUGGGCCAACCUUGAGAAACCAACCAUUGGAGCAAGCUAUGGAGCUUGAUUAGCUCCAUUGGAUAGGUUUUGUUUGAGAAGUGAAGUAUUGUAAUUGACUGACUGUGGAACCUGUUGGUGGUGAACAAAGGUUGACUGAAGCAUUGAGGUGAGGAUGCUGCAGGAGCCUCUGGUGGCAAGUGGCCAUAUCUGGAUUAUGCAUGAAAUGUGGCAUUUCUUUUGAGAUUGUACAUGUUGUUUUGUAGCUCACAUGUAUAGAAUUAAAUGAAUAGGCAAUGCUAGAUUUAUGAUUUGUAUAUUGGAAUGGACUUAGCCUAUGCUCAUGCCUUUGGUCAUCUCUUUUGUUGAUGAGAGCCAAGGGAAUGAUCAUAGUAUUUUGUAAGCUAAGUUCCAUGAUUUGUAAUGGGUAUGUAAUGUAAAUGAUGCCACUUGAAAUUCAGAUAUGCAUGCUUUUAUGUAUUGAGUUAUUGAAUUG